GGUUAACCUGCCCUAAGGUGGAGCAUACUCCCGGGAAACUGGGGCUAAUACUCCAUAGUGGAUAUAUCCUGGAAUGGUAUAUCCUCGAAAGAUCCGUCGCCUUAGGAUGGGACUGCGUCCGAUUAGGUUGUUGGCGGGGUAACGGCCCACCAAGCCUUUGAUCGGUACGGGUUGUGGGAGCAAGAUCCCGGAGAUGGAUUCUGAGACAUGAAUCCAGGCCCUACGGGGCGCAGCAGGCGCGCAAACUUUACAAUGCGAGCAAUCGUGAUAAGGAAACCCUGAGUGCCUGUCGAUGCAGGCUGUUCAUAUAUCUAAAUCAUAUGUGAAGAAAGGGCAGGGCAAGACCGGUGCCAGCCGCCGCGGUAAUACCGGCUGCUCGAGUGAUGGCCACUAUUACUGGGUUUAAAGCGUCCGUAGCUUGACUGUUAGGUCUCUUGGGAAAUCUUCACGCUCAACGUGAAGGCGUCUAAGAGAUACCGGCAGUCUUGGAACUGGGAGAGGUAAACCGUACUUCGGGGGUAGGAGUGAAAUCUUGUAAUCCUCGAGGGACGACCUAUGGCGAAGGCAGUUUACCAGAACAGCUUCGACAGUGAGGGACGAAAGCUGGGGGAGCAAACGGGAUUAGAUACCCCGGUAGUCCCAGCCGUAAACAAUGUGCGUUAGGUGUGUCGGUAACCACGUGUUACUGAUGCGCCGAAGAGAAAUCGUGAAACGCACCACCUGGGAAGUACGGUCGCAAGGCUGAAACUUAA
rnacentral:rRNA from 1 species